GUAUUCACUUGGGCAGCACAUAAACUUAAAUUGGAACUAUACAGACAAGAUUAGUAUGGCUCCUGCCAAAGGAUGAAAUACUAAUUUAUGAAGUGUUCCAUAUUAAA